AGCGAACGCUGGCGGCAGGCCUAACACAUGCAAGUCGAACGGAUCCUUCGGGAUUAGUGGCAGACGGGUGAGUAACGCGUGGGAACGUGCCCUUUGGUUCGGAACAACACAGGGAAACUUGUGCUAAUACCGGAUGUGCCCUUCGGGGAAGGAUUUAUCGCCAUUGGAGCGGCCCGCGUUGGAUUAGGUAGUUGGUGAGGUAAAGGCUCACCAAGCCUACGAUCCAUAGCUGGUCUGAGAGGAUGAUCAGCCACACUGGGACUGAGACACGGCCCAGACUCCUACGGGAGGCAGCAGUGGGGAAUCUUGCGGCAAUGGGCGAAAGCCUGACGCAGCCAUGCCGCGUGAAUGAUGAAGGUCUUAGGAUUGUAAAAGCCCUUUCGGUGGGGAAGAAAAGCCUCGAGCUAACAUCUCGGGGUCUUGACGUAACCCAUUAAAGAAGCACCGGCUAACUCUGUGCCAGCCGCCGCCGUAAG
rnacentral:rRNA from 1 species